rnacentral:rRNA from 1 species
UACGUAGGGAGCAAGCGUUGUCCGGAAUCAUUGGGCGUAAAGCGCGCGUAGGCGGCCCCGUAAGUCCGCUGUGAAAGUCAAAGGCUCAACCUUUGAAAGCCGGUGGAUACUGUGGGGCUAGAGUCCGGAAGAGGCGAGUGGAAUUCCUGGUGUAGCGGUGGAAUGCGCAGAUAUCAGGAGGAACACCGGUGGCGAAGGCGGGACUCUGGGCCGAUACUGACGCUGAGGAGCGAAAGCGUGGGGAGCGAACAGG